CCCCCUCAACCUAUGAGACAGCCCACAGGUGAAAUUUAAUACCAGAGAAAUGAGGAAAGUUGGGGUAAGUAGAGAUCUCCCAAGUUAUGAGGCAAUCCACACAUGGGUAAAAAUUUAUAACGAGAGAAAAAUGGGAGAAAUGGGGUGAGUAGAGAGAGAAGAGGAAGAAAAGUUCAGAUCGGAGGAUUUGGAGCCACAGGAAGAACAUGAAUUUAUAGAGAAAUAGGGAAGAGUUGGGGUGAGUAGAGGAAGAAGAGGAAGAGAAGUUCAGAUUGGAGGCUUCGGGGGUAUAGGGCCUGCAGUCAUAAGCUUGAGUUGCAAGUUAUUGAAGCUCAAAACCUUCAUCAAAGUUUCCUAGGCAUCAUCUUCAGGUAAUGAUGCAUCCAAUUGAUUUUAGCAUGACGAUCCUUUAUAGAUCCACCAUGAUGCGCAUUUCAAAUUAAAAGAAAACAAUUUCAAUGAGGUUUUUGCAUCGAGACCUCUUGUUAUUGAACCCUAAAUCACCCAUCUGCCUUUUUUUAAUUUUCUCUCUCAAAUCAAAACCAAACAAUGUAAUAAUUGAUUCAAAUAGUUCAUAUUGCAUCUAUUUAGAAAACCCUAAGGACAUUUUUCGAAUCAUUUGAAAAAUUUGUAGAAAGUGAUGCACACCUCUUGUUAUUGAACCCUAAAUCACUCAUCUGCGUUUCUUUAAUUUUCUCUCUCAAAUCAGAACCAAACAAUAUAAUAAUUGAUUCAAAUUGUUCAUAUUUCAUCCAUUUAGAAAAACCCUAAGGUCAUUUCUUGGAUCAAUUCAAAAAUUUGUAGAAAUUGAUGCACAAAUUUCUACAUAUAUAUUCAUGUUCUAUAUUCAAAAAACCUCCAUCAUGGCAUAGCAAACAUUUUUUGGGCAUCCCUUUUUGUAUAGGGCAACCGUAUGUGGGUUGUCUUUCUAAAUUUCACCCUUGUGUAAUAAUUUUCACAAAUUUAAUACAAUGUUAACCCUCAGAAAAAAAAAUGGUCAUCCAAUUUUUUUUACCAAGGAAGUGUUCUAUUUGGUGUGAAUCUUUUUUCUUUAAGCUGAGUUUGCUUUGUUAGCAACUUAUUUUAUUUUUGCCCAUGUAUUUUACAGGGUUUUUUAUUGUCUUUAAGUAGUUAAGAGAUGUAAUGAAGUUGUGAUGAUAGCUAGCGAUAAUUUUUUACUAGACCAUAUAAACAACAAACAAUUGAUUGCUGAUAAGUAUUUUCCAAAAUGAGGAUUGAUUAUGUCUUUGUUGUCUUUAAAUGAUUUUAGCACUUUAUGUUAACAACAGGAGAUAUUUCUACCGAUAUUCUAUGUUGUUAUAAGUAGUACCAUUUAUGAGUUCUUUUAAACACCCUUCUAAUAUUUUAUGUUUAAUAUUUAUAAAUUCGAUGAUAUUGUUUACUUUGAGAAAGAUAAAUUGCUAAUAUUUAUGUAUUUGAUAUUGUUUACCACUAAAUAAUAUUAAUAGUGCUACAAAGUAACGAUAGAUUGCUAAAGAGUAAUAUGAGCAAUGAUAGCAAUUGUUGUAAUGAGAUGGAAGUGUUUAAUGAAAACUUUGAGAUUUUCUAAAUAAUUAUAUAAUUUAAAGUUGGUAGAUGAAUCUUCUAAUUGCUUUUCUCAUUCAUGUUAUAGAUUUAUAAAAUAGAAUGGACAUGAACUUGGACACAAGGUAUACAAUUGACUUGCAGUUAGGAAGUAGUCAAUUGGUAGUGGGACCGAGAGAAGUACGAAGGCAGAAACUCCUAUUGGGGAUUACCCAACAGAAGUGGACUAUGAUGAUUUAGGUUAUCACAAUGAAAUGGAGGAUAUUAAUGAUUUCGAUAGUGAUGGCAGCAACAAGUUUGAUAUAUGCCAAUAUACAAAGGAUGCAUCUGAGACUAACAUGGACGAGCCUCAAGGUUUUGAACUUAGUGAUAAUGUGCCUAACGAGGGUAUGUGAUUUGAAUCCCAUAAAGAUGCAUUUGACUUUUAUAACAAAUAUGCAAAAAAAAGGGUUUUAGUGUUAAGAAUUCUUUGACUCGUCGAUCAAGGAAAGAUGGGUCAGUCAUUGCUUGUGAAUAUGUAUGUUCAAAAGAAGGUUAUCAACAUAAGAAAUACGAGGGGAAUCACACACGACCCCAAACAAGGAAGCCUUACUAAGAAUAAAAAAGAAUGAAGAUGGUUUUUGGAUCAUUGUGGCGCACAAUAAAUAAUAUUCUUAUGCCUUAAACUUCACCAUCCAAAGUUCAUCUCCUUUGAUCACAUCGUGAAAUUCCAGAGCACACAAGGCGAAUGAUCCAUAUGUAUAACUCAUGUGCAUUAACUGCACCGAAGAUAACAAAAGUGCUUAGUACUCAGGCUGGUGGCCCAAGGAGUCUCCCUUUUAUUGAAAUAGACUGCAAGAAUGAAAUCUACAGAAGUCAGAGAAAAGAUUCAAAGUUGAUAGGAGGGGUUGCAGAGGGGUUGAUGGAGUUCUUUGUUACUAAGAUUGCUGAAAACCUGUUAUUUGCAUAUAGAAUGCAAGUUGAUGAAGAAGGGCACCUAUGCAAGUACUAUGGAUUGAUACGAAAUCGAGAAUUGCUGAUGAGUUAUUUAGAAGAUCAUCAUAUUCGUUACCACAUACAAAACUAAUGUCUAUCAGUGCCAUGUGCCCCAAUUUUAGGAGUGAACCACCACACAAAGACUAUAUUCGUAGGUUGUGCGUUACUCCAUAAAGAAGAUGAAGAGUCUUUUGCAUAGCUAUUUACAAAGUGGCUUGAGGUGAUGAAUGGGUGUCAACCUAAGUCAAUCGUCAUAGACCAAGACAAGGCGAUGAUCCUCGUAAUAAAAAAGGUGUUCUCAGAGUCCCGACAUCGCUUGUGUAGAUGGCAUAUUACACAAAAGUUUGAACCAAAAAUAGCACAAGUUGAGCGCAAACAUCCAUCCUUGCAUACAAAAUUCUAUAAAUAUAUUGACCAGUGCACCACUAUAAAUGAAUUUGAAGACACAUGGCCAAGAAUGAUAGAAAAAGAUGAUUUAAAGAAUAAUGAAUGGUUGCGGUUUUUGUAUGAAAUUCGACAUCAGUGGGUAGAUGUAUAUUUACAAGACUGCUUCUUUGCUAGCAAUAGGACAAGUGAAAGAAGUGAAGCUAUGAACAAACGCAUCAAGGCAUAUGUGAAUUAACAUACCAACUUGACUACAUUUGUAGGCAAACUACAAGAAUUAAUUGACAAAAAAUUUGAUGAUGAAAACAAUGUAGACUUUAAAUCUCAUAACGAGACACCAGUUAUGAAGACUGCCUCUCGCAUGGAGAAGCAGAUGGUUGAAAUUUAUACCCCAACUAUCUUUUCGAACUUCUUUCAGCCAAAGUUGAUGGAAGGCAUUAGUCUUACUUGUGAAGUCCAAGUUUGAAAUAAUAUGGGGUAUGUCACAGAGCUCACAUGGUCGCAUUCAGGAACACUGAGGAGAAAGCAACAUAUAGUUGUCAUCUAUAUGAGUGAAUGGGUAUCCCUUGUAGUCAUAUGCUCAAGGUGCUUUUUCUAAAAACUAUUUUUGAAUUACCCCAAUACUAUAUAAUGAAAAGAUUGACUACAAAGGGGAUUGCUCGUAAUAGUCAUGGAGUUCAAGUACAACCUAACUGUGAGCAUACCUAUUCAACACGUUACAAUGAUCUAUUUCGAUGUUGCAACAUUCUAUCAGUAAAUGGUGCAGUGAGUGUAGGUUUGUAUGAGUAUGCAAAGAUGGUUAUAGAUGAGGCAUGUGAUAAGGUUGCUGCUAGAAUUGACAUGGAAAUGGCUUCUGCAAUACAAGCAUCUCCUACCCAUAGCAGCCCUGCAUACACAGGAUCCCCUUGUGUGACACCCAUCCUCUCUGUGGUUUCAAAUCCACAUGUGACCAUAUAGGCUCCAAUUUAUACAAAGCCAAAGGGGCGGCCUAGCCAUUUACGUUUGAAACCUGCGCAUAAGAAGAAAACGAGUAAAAGAAAGUGCAAGGGAUGUUGGGUUAUAGGUCAUGAUAGAUGUAAAUAUCUCUCUUUGUGCAGCACACGGUAUGAUAUGUCAUUUUUUGUAUUUGUGAGCUUAAGUUUUUAAAUCUUGUUGUUUUUAAGCUAAUGCAUUGUUUCAAUUUUAAAACAUCAAGUUUAAUUGUUGUGGAUGUUUUCAUGUCUAUUUGCUACUUUUCAAACUCUAACAUUUGAAUAUCUAACUUGCUAUUUAGCUUUGAGCAGACCUCCCUUUUCUUAAUGCUUAUGGUUAAAUAAUUCUAUGGUGAGCAGAUUGAAAUGGGUUUUAAUCAUGAAAUUUUUUCCAUGGUAAUCCACUAUCAUUGAGUUGUUCCUUGUUUUCUAUUUUGGUACAGGGGUGCUACAUUGAAAGCACAAUUAACUCCCAAGGAUGGGCGAGUAACACCCACUAUGAUGUGGCUAGGGAGCAACAAUGAUUAGCUUUUGAAUUGACAAUGAUUUAUUUAUGCUUUUGAUAUCUACAACCUUAAGUUUUUUUAUGCCUAAU
rnacentral:lncRNA from 1 species